UCCUACGGGAGGCAGCAGUGAGGAAUAUUGGUCAAUGGGCGGGAGCCUGAACCAGCCAAGUCGCGUGAGGGAAGACGGUCCUAUGGAUUGUAAACCUCUUUAGGCGGGGAGCAAUGCCGGGCACGCGUGUCCGGAGGGAGAGUACCCGCAGAAUAAGCAUCGGCUAACUCCGGGCCAGCAGCCGCGGUAAUACGGAGGAUGCGAGCGUUAUCCGGAUUUAUUGGGGUUAAAGGGUGCGUAGGCGGAUUUUUAAGUCAGCGGUAAAAUGUCCGGGCUCAACCCGGGCCGGGCGUUGAAACUGGGGA
rnacentral:rRNA from 1 species